rnacentral:rRNA from 1 species
AGCGAACGCUGGCGGCGUGCUUAACACAUGCAAGUCGAGUGCGUAGCCCUUUGUAGCAAUACAGAGGGUGGGCGCACGGCGCACGGGUGAGUAACACGUGGGUAACCUGCCCUUCGGUGGGGAAUAACCCGCGAAAGCGGGGCGUAAUUCCGCAUAACAUUCCGGGGACGACAUGUUCUCGGACUCAAAGGAGUGAUUCGCCGGAGGAGGGCCCGCGGCCUAUCAGCUUGUUGGUGGGGUGAUGGCCUACCAAGGCGACGACGGGUA